rnacentral:rRNA from 1 species
AAUAUUGCACAAUGGAGGGAACUCUGAUGCAGCAACGCCGCGUGAGUGAAGAAGGUUUUCGGAUCGUAAAGCUCUGUCCUUGGGGAAGAAGGUCUUCGGACUUGACGGUACCUAAGGAGGAAGCCCCGGCUAACUACGUGCCAGCAGCCGCGGUAAUACGUAGGGGGCGAGCGUUAUCCGGAAUUAUUGGGCGUAAAGGGUGCGUAGGCGGCCUUUUAAGUCAGGUGUGAAAGGCUACGGCUUAACCGUAGUUAGCAUUUGAAACUAAAAGGCUUGAGUGCAGGAGAGGAGAGUGGAAUUCCUAGUGUAGCGGUGAAAUGCGUAGAUAUUAGGAGGGACACCAGUGGCGAAGGCGACUCUCUGGACUGCAACUGACGCUGAGGCACGAAAGCGUGGGGAGCGAACA